rnacentral:rRNA from 1 species
ACUCCUACGGGAGGCAGCAGUGGGGAAUAUUGCACAAUGGGCGCAAGCCUGAUGCAGCCAUGCCGCGUGUAUGAAGAAGGCCUUCGGGUUGUAAAGUACUUUCAGCAGUGAGGAAGGUGGGUAUGUUAAUAGCAUACUCAUUUGACGUUAGCUGCAGAAGAAGCACCGGCUAACUCCGUGCCAGCAGCCGCGGUAAUACGGAGGGUGCGAGCGUUAAUCGGAAUUACUGGGCGUAAAGCGCAUGCAGGUGGUUUGUUAAGUCAGAUGUGAAAGCCCGGGGCUCAACCUCGGAAUUGCAUUUGAAACUGGCAAACUAGAGUACUGUAGAGGGGGUUAGAAUUUCAGGUGUAGCGGUGAAAUGCGUAGAGAUCUGAAGGAAUACCGGUGCGAAGCGGCCCCUGGACAGAUACUGACACUCAGAUGCGAAAGCGUGGGAGC